rnacentral:ncRNA from 1 species
UUAACUUAAUGUUAAAGAGCCCCAUUAUGAAUAACUUUAAGAGUUAAACAUAAAUGAAAACCGGAUAAAUUGCAAGGAACACUGUUAAUUUAACAGUCAAUUUGCAGCCGAGCGUAAUUUAGUGAUAAAUAAGGAUUGCGAAGGUUCAACGACUAAUAGGUGAGUUUAACUAACAAUAAGCCUAACACGAACAUCCGGCAUUAAUUAACCUUUUCUUCAUCAAAGAUAGGAAGAUUAAUGAUGACAUAGUCUGAACAGUAGCGUGAGUUACUG